rnacentral:tRNA from 1 species
GUCGAUGUAGCUCAGUUGGUUAGAGCGCAACACUCAUAAAGUUGAGGUCGGAGGUUCAAUUCCUCCCAUCGACA